rnacentral:tRNA from 1 species
GGCACGCCUGGACGAUGGACGGGACGUCGUGGUGGCUCGGCACGGCCGGUGUCGCCGGUUCGAUGGCCGCCGGGGCGCUGC